CCAGAAUCCAGGACCAGCCCCGAAGUUUGCCCAAUUUGUGGUUGAAUCAUUGCUCAGAUUGUUAAGGGAGUAAAUACCAUGACUGCAAAGUAUCCUGGAACCUGAAAGAAGCAUGAAAAAUGGAG
rnacentral:lncRNA from 14 species